GCCACAGCCUUAUCACCCUGCAGCCCAAGACCAGUUACUCACUGAAGCUAAGCAGGGCUGAGCCUGGUCAGCACCUGGAUGGGAGACCACAUGGGAAAAGCUAGGUUGCUGAUGGAA
rnacentral:rRNA from 1 species